UCUUUAGAGUUCAAAUGUAAUUCAACUACGGUAAUGUAAGAAUCAUGAUUCAAUUUUGUGCGGAAAAUUUGGAGUGGCAAGUACCAUGUACCAUAAAUUGAAGAAAACAAGAAAUUCAAUUUUACUAAAUGGAUAAGGAUCCUUGUGGGAAAUAUGAAGAACACGGGCACGCUUCCUUCUCAUUUUUAUCUUUGCCACGUCCCUCUUCUUUCUGUCUUUUUCUUUUGAUGUUUUUGUGGCUGUUGGCGCAUAAGUCCGUCUGGCAAAACCAAAACCACAAAAUAUCUGUUUGGUCCAUCCAGUCCACCCAUCUCGAAUGUUCGGAAUGGGUAGAACGAAAGACAGUAGUGACAAAGACAUAAUGUGGGUUUGGGUUCGGGUUUCGAAGGAGAGGAGGGACAUAUGGAUGCAAUAAUCUGUUGUCGUUGCCAUCUCUCAUCUUUUCUUCAAAAACGUCAGUUGCACAAUUUAGAUUGAAUGUUAGGAUUAGAUG
ensembl:ncRNA W03G11.14 ncRNA